GGUCACGUAGCUCAGCCUGGCCAGAGCGGCUGACUUGUAAUCAGCAGGUCGUGGGUCCAAAUCCCACCGUGACCU
rnacentral:tRNA from 4 species